rnacentral:lncRNA from 1 species
AAAGUAGUUACACUCACAUAAAAAUUAACUCUUGAAAUUAAUUUUUCCCCAAGAGGCCUUAGGAAGUCAUCUUUUUUUGAGUCUCAGAUACUCUCCCUGUACCAGAAAGAAGAUGGACAAUAUGACCUCUAAGGCUCCUCUUAGUGCUAACAUCCUUAGAAUAUGAGUUUCUUCCUGAGAUUAACACAAAAGAAAAAUAUAAAGAAAAGCAGUAUGCAUACUGAAACUGAUCCGAGAGGACAGGGAAGUCAGUGUGGGCGGCUCUAAGGAGCCUCCCUCUCUACAGCUGCGGCUCAGAGGAUUACGGCGCUUCAUCCACAAGGCAACAUUGCACAAGUAGCCUUUGAACAAAAGUCAUGGAUACUAUUAAUGAUAUGAUUUGUUUUUGCAAGUUCCCACACACAUUUAGUGUUCUCUCAAAAUUCAUGCUGUCAACUGUCUCUAGGAACCAUUUCCAUCUGAGAACAAGACCACACAAAGAUGGAGAAACUAAGGCACAGAGAUGUUAAGAACUGGUUUACUUGAAGACAACCAAUGACCGAAAAAACUUCUUCUCAUUAUGCUGCCUACUCUAAUUGGAAAGGUAUGCUGUCUAAUUCAGCACUGUCCAAUAGGAAUAUAUUGCAAGCCACAUAAGUAAUUUAAACAUUUCUCUCUUUUAGGGGAGGGAGUUGCCAAGUUAUU